rnacentral:rRNA from 1 species
GAGUUUGAUCAUGGCUCAGGACGAACGCUGGCGGCGUGCUUAACACAUGCAAGUCGAACGGAAAGGCCCUGCUUUUGUGGGGUGCUCGAGUGGCGAACGGGUGAGUAACACGUGAGUAACCUGCCCUUGACUUUGGGAUAACUUCAGGAAACUGGGGCUAAUACCGGAUAGGAGCUCCUGCUGCAUGGUGGGGGUUGGAAAGUUUCGGCGGUUGGGGAUGGACUCGCGGCUUAUCAGCUUGUUGGUGGGGUAGUGGCUUACCAAGGCUUUGACGGGUAGCCGGCCUGAGAGGGUGACCGGCCACAUUGGGACUGAGAUACGGCCCAGACUCCUACGGGAGGCAGCAGUGGGGAAUAUUGCACAAUGGGCGGAAGCCUGAUGCAGCAACGCCGCGUGCGGGAUGACGGCCUUCGGGUUGUAAACCGCUUUCGCCUGUGACGAAGCGUGAGUGACGGUAAUGGGUAAAGAAGCACCGGCUAACUACGUGCCAGCAGCCGCGGUGAUACGUAGGGUGCGAGCGUUGUCCGGAUUUAUUGGGCGUAAAGGGCUCGUAGGUGGUUGAUCGCGUCGGAAGUGUAAUCUUGGGGCUUAACCCUGAGCGUGCUUUCGAUACGGGUUGACUUGAGGAAGGUAGGGGAGAAUGGAAUUCCUGGUGGAGCGGUGGAAUGCGCAGAUAUCAGGAGGAACACCAGUGGCGAAGGCGGUUCUCUGGGCCUUUCCUGACGCUGAGGAGCGAAAGCGUGGGGAGCGAACAGGAUUAGAUACCCUGGUAGUC